GACGAACGCUGGCGGCGUGCCUAAUACACGCAAGUCGAGCGCAGGAAAUCGACGGAACCCUUCGGGGGGAAGUCGAUGGAAUGAGCGGCGGACGGGUGAGUAACACGUAAAGAACCUGCCCUCAGGUCUGGGAUAACCACGAGAAAUCGGGGCUAAUACCGGAUGGGUCAUCGGACCGCAUGGUCCGAGGAUGAAAGGCGCUUCGGCGUCGCCUGGGGAUGGCUUUGCGGUGCAUUAGCUAGUUGGUGGGGUAAUGGCCCACCAAGGCGACGGUGCAUAGCCGACCUGAGAGGGUGAUCGGCCACACUGGGACUGAGACACGGCCCAGACUCCUACGGGAGGCAGCAGUAGGGAAUCUUCCACAAUGGACGAAAGUCUGAUGGAGCAACGCCGCGUGAACGAUGAAGGCCUUCGGGUCGUAAAGUUCUGUUGUAAGGGAAGAACAAGUGCCGCAGGCAAUGGCGGCACCUUGACGGUACCUUGCGAGAAAGCCACGGCUAACUACGUGCCAGCCGCCGCCGUAACAC
rnacentral:rRNA from 1 species